UACGUAGGGGGCAAGCGUUGUCCGGAGUUACUGGGCGUAAAGGGCCCGCAGGCGGUCCUUCGCGUUCCCACUGACAAUCCGCCGCUUCACGGAGGAGGGGGUGGGAAAACGGGAGGACUUGAGGGCCAGAGAGGGACACGGAAUUCCGGGUGGAGUGGUGAAAUGCGUAGAUAUCCGGAGGAACACCAAAGGCGAAGGCAGUGUCCUGGCUGGCUCCUGACGCUCAGGGGCGAAAGCGAGGGGAGCGAACGGG
rnacentral:rRNA from 1 species